CUUUAGGAGCCUGAUCGAGACGGUUCGACGCACCUCGCCCGCCACGCAGAUCAUCGUUUCUGGACUGCUUCCUACCUACCGCCGAGGAAAUGAAAGGUUCAGUAGACUUUCGCUCUGAAUGAAUGGCUAUUAACAUGGUGUAAAGAACAGAAAUUGCUCUUUGCCAAUAACUGGAAUCUUUUCUGGGAGCGUCCUAGGCUUUUUCACGUUGACGGGCUGGACCCCAGUCGAGCUGGAGCUGAACUCCUGUCGGACAACAUCUCCAGAAUACUUCUAUUUACGAUCUAUUUGACUAGUUACUCUUCCCGAGUCCCUCAGACUAUGCAGAGUCGAUCUAAGACCAACGACGAGAUGAGUCUAAGGUUUCCAUAUCCUGGACCGGGCCGUAUCCUGAGCAGCUACUGUGAUGGUCAUGGAAGAGUGGAGAACAUGAGACUGAUUCCUGUGACGCUCCAGAGACAGACGAGUCUUCGCUGAGGCCAGCUUCCAGCCUCCGCCGCUGAGACUGCAGCUCUGCACAAGACGUUUGGCCAGCGGAGAAAUUAAAAUGGUCGUGCCCAACUGAGUCUGGUUUCACUCAAGGUUUUUUUCUUCACUUCGCCAAUUAGUGAAGUUUUUUUUCCCUCUCCGCUGUCGCCACUAGCUUGCAUGGUUUGGGAUCUGUAGAGCUGUGCAUUGUUGGAUUUACUCUUCAGUGAGUAUCUCAGUAGUGAUUAUUAAAUCACACUGAACUGAGCUCAACUGAACUGAACUUAAACACUAAAAACUGAACUACACUAUUCCAAUUUACUAUGACCUUUUAUAUGAAGCUGCUUUGACACAAUCUACAUUGUAAAAGCGCUAUACAAAUAAUGGUGAAUUGAAUUGAAUCAUCUGUAAGUGGAAGAUGUUUGGAACCACCAGGACUCUUCCUAGAGUUGGCUGGCCAUCUAAGUGAGGGAUCGGGGGAGAAGGGCCUUAGUCAGGGAGGUGAUCAAUAACCUGAUGGUCACUCUGUCUGAGCUCCAGUGUUCUUCGGUGGAGAGAGGAGAACCUUACAGAAGGACAACCAUCUGUGCAGCAAUCCACCAAUCAGGCCUGUAUGGUAAAGUGGCCAGACGGAAGCCACUCCCCGCCUGGAAUUUGCCAAAAGGCAUCUGAAGGACUCUCAGACCAUAAGAAACAAAAUUCUCUGGUCUGAUGAGACUAAAAUUUAACUCUUUGGAGUGAAUGCCAGGCGUUACGUUUGGAGUAAACCAGGCAGCGCUCAUCACCAGGCUAAUACCAUCCCUACAGUGAAGCAUGGUGGUGGCAGUAUCAUGCUGUGGGGAUGUUUUUCAGCAGCAGGAACUGGAAGACUAGUCAGGAUAGAGGGAAAGAUGAAUGCAGCAAUGUACAGAGACAUCCUGAAUGAAAACCUUCUUCAGAGUGCUCUUGACCUCAGAUCUGUCUGUCUGUUUGUCCGUCCAUCCAUCCAUCCAUCUGUGUUUCCAUCUGUUCUUCUAACUAGCUGUCCAUUUAUUUGUCUAUCAUCUAUCUCAGUCUGUAUAUCUAUUUUUCCGUCUGUCCAUCUAUCUGUCUAUCUAUCUGUCUAUUCAUUUAUCUUUAUCUAUCUAUCUAUCUAUCUAUCUAUCUAUCUAUCUAUCUAUCUAUCUAUCUAUCUAUCUAUCUAUCUAUCUAUCUAUCUAUCUAUCUAUCUAUCUAUCUAUCUAUCCAUCUGUCUAUCUGUCUAUCUGUCUGUCUGUCUGUCUGUCUGUCUAUCUAUCUAUCUAUCUAUCUAUCUAUCUAUCUAUCUAUCUGUCUAUCUGUCUGUCUGUCCGUCUGUCUGUCUGUCUGUCUGUCUGUCUAUCUAUCUAUCUAUCUAUCUAUCUAUCUAUCCGUAAAUUCUCCAACUACUAACUCUGCUGUGACACACUUGAUGUGUUGUGAGAGUAGAGUAUAAAUAUUUGCACCAUGCUGUCUGUCUGUCUGUCUGUCUGUCCAUAUAUUCAUCCAUCGGCCUCUCAAUCCAUCUGUCUCUCUAUCUGUCAAUCUAUCUUUCCCUCUGUUUGUCUAUCUAUCUGUCAAUCUAUCUGUCUGUAGUUAUUAGCUAUGUAUCUACUGUAGCUGUUAUUAGCAGUCUUGGAUUUUUUAUAAUUUAAAAAUCCUCACAUAACAGGAUAGAGGAAAGCAUGGCAAUUAUCUUACAACUGUACACAAUUAAAUAUCAUCCAUAAAAAUGUUUAACCCUAAUAAAUAAAAAUAUAGAGGCCUCCCUUGGACUAAUCCGUAAAUUGUGAAAUCAAUCAGGAUUUGUGCUGAUUAGAGGCGUCCGCACUCUCUCUGUUUCAUCUGGACCGUUGAUCCCUUCCAUGCCCUUAUUAUCAAGGCCUGUCAGCAGAUUAUUGAUACACACUGUUAAUUCAAUCCUAAUUUAAUUUACUUAGUGUCUGCGUAAUUAAUUAGUUGACAUCUGGGGUGAUAAGGCUAGGCUUACGGCGCAACAGAAUACACUGUAUCUCUAUCCGCUUUUCUGACAUCUCUGUCACCCAGUGAUCCUGUCAGGCAUAUUAGCCUUUUUAUAUUUCGCUACAUUGCUCUAUAUCUAGCCAUUUAAUAUGAAGUGAAACGCUCAUCAAACAUUAAAGCCUUUGUGGCAUAAA